GAUGAACGCUGGCGGCGUGCCUAAUACAUGCGAGUCGAGCGAACGGACGAGAAGCUUGCUUUUCCGAUGUUAGCGGCGGACGGGUGAGUAACACGUGGAUAACCUACCUAUAAGACUGGGAUAACUUCGGGAAACCGGAGCUAAUACCGGAUAAUAUUUUGAACCGCAUGGUUCAAAAGUGAAAGACGGUCUUGCUGUCACUUAUAGAUGGAUCCGCGCUGCAUUAGCUAGUUGGUAAGGUAACGGCUUACCAAGGUAACGAUGCAUAGCCGACCUGAGAGGGUGAUCGGCCACACUGGAACUGAGACACGGUCCAGACUCCUACGGGAGGCAGCAGUAGGGAAUCUUCCGCAAUGGGCGAAAGCCUGACGGAGCAACGCCGCGUGAGUGAUGAAGGUCUUCGGAUCGUAAAACUCUGUUAUUAGGGAAGAACAUAUGUGUAAGUAACUGUGCACAUCUUGACGGUACCUAAUCAGAAAGCCACGGCUAACUACGUG
rnacentral:rRNA from 1 species